UACAGAGGGUGCGAGCGUUGUCCGGAAUCACUGGGCGUAAAGGGCGCGUAGGUGGUGGCUUAAGCGUGCGGUGAAAGCCUCGGGCGUCAACCCCGAGUCGGCCGUGCGAACUGGGCUCACUGGAGCAUAGUAGAGGCAGGUGGAAUUCCGGGUGUAGCGGUGGAAUGCGUAGAGAGUCCGGAAGAACACCGGUGGCGAAGGCGGCCUGCUGGGCUAUGGCUGACACUGAGGCGCGGACAGCGUGGGGAG
rnacentral:rRNA from 1 species